AAAGAUCGUUUUGAAGAUGAUGCACAAGAUUGGAAUGCAAAUGCUCAAAGGAUAUAAAUUGAUGUUCUUAUUAGGGGAAGUUAAUGCGCGUUACACUCUUUUUCCCUUACAAGGUUUUGUCCCACUGGGUUUUCCUUGCGCGAGGUUUUUAACGAGGCAAUCAAUAGGCGCAUAUUCAAACAUGUGUACUCUUUUUCCUUCUCUUUAAUUUUUUCCAUUGGGUUUUGGUUUUAAGGUUUUAACGAGACACAUUGUUGAAUAGACAUUUAAGGGGGAGUGUUAUAAAUAGACUUC
rnacentral:lncRNA from 1 species